UGUCAACAUUCAACUGUUUACUACCAAAAGAACGCUUUGAACGCCAAAUAAAAAAUGUUAAUUACAACUUAACAAAUUAGCAACACUGUUUGAGACAUUGUGAGAUUUCACAAAAUUUAAUUGAUGUUAAGCAACAUUUUCCGCACAAUCGAAAUUUUACUUUAAAGUUUUUAGAGCGCACAAUAAGCCAAUUACUAGCUUAGGUGUAUGUCCAAAGUGACAGGGGGCGAAUUAAUAUCUGCAUCCGCUUUUCAACCUAACCUAUCCUAAGAAAAAUGGAGUAUGAAGACUGUGGCACUAUUAGUUUCAAAAACAUUUACUAUUUUUUCCCCCACAAAUAAUUAAAAUUUGCUUUUGUUUUGUUAGCAAAUAUUGAAAGGAGAAAAUAGUGUCUCAUUCAAACAAUAGUAAUGUGGAGGAAUGUUAAGAGCGUCUGCUUUGUAAACGGUUCAACUCUCGGCUGCAAAGAAUGCGACUGAGCGAUUGGGAGCGUGGUGGUAGGGAAGGGCGUUUCAGUCUAAGUAGUUCUUUUUUAGCUACAUUGAAAUAAGAAAAUAUCUCAUUAUUUUUUGAUAACUUGUAUGCCUUGGCAUAAAUACUUAUUUUUGAAAUAUUGGUAUGAUUAUGUAGUAGGACUUUCCUCCUAGGAUAUAGCCAUGCUAAAGUAGUUGAGAGCGACGCUUAGAAAUGUUAUUAGAUUUUGAAUAAGCUUACCAAUCUGGUUAUUUAGUAUUGAGAGUUUUUGCUGGGUAGAGAGGAGUCUUCCCGCCAGUAUGUUCGAGUGAAUUUACAUUUUUUCUGCAGCAAUUUGAUACGAUGUGAUGAAAUAAGGCCCCAAUAAGUGUCCAAACCGAAAAAAAAAGAACAACAAUAAUUGGGGCUUCAUUUAUUUUUUUGGGGAUUUAUCUCAUUUCAUAUGAACUAAAACUCUAAAUCUGGAAGUGGAUGUGAAACAAAGCCCCAAACCUACUUUUUGGAUCUUUAUUUCGUGUUGCCAAAAUUGAGGAGUUUCCUAAAGGGAGCAAAGAAUAUUUAUUUCUUCCUGCACAACAAGAUAAAGGUGUUAUAAAUUAUAGUGCAGAACCACAAGUAUCAAGAAAAUAUCCAACUUAACCUAAUACAAAAAAAAUUAUUUUUAAUAAAG